rnacentral:rRNA from 1 species
CUACGAAAGGUGCAAGCGUUGUUCGGAUUUACUGGGCGUAAAGAGAGUGUAGGUGGUUUAUUAAGUCGGAUGUGAAAUCCCGGGGCUCAACCUCGGAACUGCAUUCGAUACUGAUAGGCUAGAGUUUGGGAGGGGUAAGCGGAAUUCCGUGUGUAGCAGUGAAAUGCGUAGAUAUACGGAGGAACACCUGAGGCGAAGGCGGCUUACUGGACCAAUACUGACACUGAGACUCGAAAGCGUGGGUAGCAAACAGGAUUAGAAACCCCAGUAGUCC